CUUGGCCCAUCAUCAGCAGAUCUGGAGGUGAUGGGGGCCUGGCCUGGCUUCCCCAGUCCCUGCAGCUUCUCUGCAAGGCUCUGGGGUGUGAAGCCCAUAGGGUGUGUUGCGGGGGAAGCGGGGCACAGCAGGAGGCCCCCAGGUGGCUCUAGGGGUUACAUCCCCUCCCUUCCCCUGCCAGGCUGAGGCCGCGGAAGGAGCAGGGCACAUACGCCCUGUCCCUCAUCUAUGGGAAGACAGUGUACCACUACCUCAUCAGCCAAGACAAGGCGGGCAAGUACUGCAUUCCCGAGGGCACCAAGUUUGACACGCUCUGGCAGCUGGUGGAGUAUCUGAAGCUGAAGGCGGACGGGCUCAUCUACUGCCUGAAGGAGGCCUGCCCCAACAGCAGUGCCAGCAACGCCUCAGGGGCUGCUGCUCCCACACUCCCAGCCCACCCAUCCACGUUGACUCAUGUGAGUUGGGGGCACCUGGAGUGUGGCCUUGGGGAUGGAGCUGGGGGGUGGCUGUGGGGGAGGCUGGGAUGGAGGCUGAGG
rnacentral:sRNA from 1 species